AUUGAACGCUGGCGGCACGCCUAACACAUGCAAGUCGAGCGGUAGCAUGGAUAGUAGCAAUACUAUCUGAUGACGAGCGGCGGACGGGUGAGUAACACGUAGGAACUUGCCCAAUAGAGGGGGAUAACCAGCGGAAACGCUGGCUAAUACCGCAUAUACUCGGAAGAGGAAAGCUGCCCGCAAGGGUGGCGCUAUUGGAGAGGCCUGCGUCCGAUUAGCUAGUUGGUGAGGUAAAGGCUCACCAAGGCUGGGAUCGGUCACUGGUUUGAGAGAACGACCAGUCACACUGGGACUGAGACACGGCCCAGACUCCUACGGGAGGCAGCAGUGGGGAAUCUUGGACAAUGGGGGCAACCCUGAUCCAGCGAUGCCGCGUGAGUGAAGAAGGCCUUCGGGUCGUAAAGCUCUUUAGGCUGGGAGGAAGGUUGGUAGUUUAAGAGAUAAUCAACUUGACUGUACCGGCAGAAUAAGCACCGGCAAACUCUGUGCCAGCCGCCGCAGUAA
rnacentral:rRNA from 1 species